rnacentral:misc_RNA from 1 species
GAUGAAGAACGUAGCGAAAUGCGAUAAGUAUUGUGAAUUGCAGAAUUCAGUGAAUCAUCGAAUCUUUGAACGCACAUUGCGCCCGUCAGUAUUCUGGCGGGCAUGCCUGUUCGAGCGUCAUUACGCCCCUCAAGUCCCCUGUGGACUUGGUGCUGGGGAUCGGCGAGGCUGGUUUUCCAGCACAGCCGUCCCUUAAAUUAAUUGGCGGUCUCGCCGUGGCCCUCCUCUGCGCAGUAGUAAAACACUCGCAACAGGAGCCCGGCGCGGUCCACUGCCGUAAAACCCCCCAACUUUUUAUAGUUGACCUCGAAUCAGGUAGGACUACCCGCUGAACUUAAGCAUAUCAAUAAGCGGAGGA